AACGUAACAGAGAAUGACUCGAGAACUAAAUUUUUAACAAAUUCAACAACACAGAGACAAAAUACAGGCGAAUUUGUAGUGAACGCAGCUAGUCUUUGUUGAUAUAUCGCGUCAAAGGAAGGAAAGCAGCAGCAACAGCAGAAAUGUAUAAAUGAAAAUGAAAGAAUAACGGUGAUCUGAAUGGAAUGAAAACGGAGUUUGCAGCUUCGGUAACCCGCUCUACUAUACUUUCGAGCGGUUAUGGACCUAAUACCGACCGGAACGGUGUAAAGUGCUGGAAAAAAUCCCCUCUUUCAUCCCCGCAGGCUAAACUGUCCAUAAGUUGAACUAUAAAAGUACACGAUAACUAGUACUUAGUGAAACGGCAUCACUGCAUCGAUUCCCUUUCUUCUUUCUCACUGAACUGUCAUUCGAAUAAACAAAAGCGAAAAGAGUGAACUGAGUGAAGAAUUUUCUUAAACAGCGAAUAGCAAACGAAGGACGUGAAGUGAUGACAAUAAAUUUAAGAUUUCAAAGACAAUAUCGCCAACGGAUGUUUCCAACGAAGUUUCAUCUGAUGUGGUUAUUUCGCUUUUGUUGUCUUCAAUCAGACUUGUAUGGAUAUAAUUGAUGUAGCAAUGGAUGCAUCCGGAUUUGCAGUCACCUGUCUAUGUAAAAAUGCAUACAGAUCAAUCAGUCUUCAAAGAAAAAAAAACAUUCUCACUAUUUGAGGAACAAAUGAACAUGUAUAAAAUCAGCGAUUGAGCGUUAUUCAGUAGCAGCCAGAUAGAACGUCGCAGUUGCAGAAAAAGCAUCUGAUGCAUGGACCAUCGUAACAAUUACCUAACCUUGAAUUUCUAACUGCUUCGUCAGCAGCUGCUUUAGGACCUGCAUCCAACGAUCGCGUUAAACCCACUUAUUGAUGAUAUAGAUGAUGCUUUCAACAUCCCAAACUUUAACUGAAUAGGAAUGUUCAGCUAAGAUCUGAUUCGUCCACACCCGCAAAGUAUAGUCUAGAAUGGUGGUAUUUGGACUAAAGUUUCAUUCUAGCCGCAUCGAAUAAUUUUACGGUAGUCAUUAUAGGAUAAUCAUCGGACGAUAAUUAUGAAUGCUUAAAAUGUAUUCGGCGAAUGCUCCAGUGAAAGAUUGUUUCGUUCAUUGUAACGUGUUGUGUAGGAUAGUUAUUAUUCGUGAUAGUAUACAAUAUAUCAUGAUAUUAGUAUUAGUAUCGAUUUAUAUAAAGUCGCAUUGGAUAUCGAAUAAAUAAUUUCUAUCGAA